rnacentral:rRNA from 1 species
UACAGAGGUCCCGAGCGUUGUUCGGAUUCACUGGGCGUAAAGGGUGCGUAGGUGGUGAGGUAAGUCGGAUGUGAAAUCUCCGGGCUCAACCCGGAAAUGGCAUUGGAAACUACCUUGCUGGAGGAUUUGAGGGGGGAUUGGAAUACUUGGUGUAGCAGUGAAAUGCGUAGAUAUCAAGUGGAACACCAGUGGCGAAGGCGAAUCCCUGGAAAAUACCUGACACUGAGGCACAAAGCUAGGGGAGCAAACAGG